ACGCCACCAUUGCGCGCCACGGCGCGCCGCGCCUCUCCCCUGGCUUCGCCCGCCAGGCUUGGUACACAAACUCGAUGUUUUUCCGCCGGUUUCCAAAGAAGCAAGCUCUUGGUGCUUUAAGAGCCCUAAGCUGUAUGGAGUGAAACCUGUAGCCUUCACUUCUUUGCCCUCUGUCACACUGAAAUAACUGUGCUGCAGCUUGAUGUGGGAUCUCAUUCUCCAGACCAGGGAUUGAACCCAGGCCACAGUGAUCCAGAACGAAGUUAAGCGGACCAGGAGAGGAUUUAACUGACUGCCAGGCCUACGGAAUCGAUCAUUCAUCCUUACUGAGCAGCUGAGGAAGCACACUAAUAUGAAAAAGUCACGGUCCCUGAGCCCAAACAACUCAAAAUCGGCAGGUGGAAAAAAAACACCUACAAAGGUGAUUACUACAAUUCAGGGUGGUAAGUGCAAGCCUGACUUCAGGACAAGCAGGCGGCUGGGAUCUUCACGGAUGGAAAUGCUCACCUGAGCCUACGUAACCGACAGGAGAGGCGACGGGUGGAUAAACUAAGCCAGCUCAGGGUCCAGGCUCCAUCCGCUCACGCACCCCAUCCCGGGCCAGACCAACCUGGCAGUGUCUUUUCCCAGGGAUCUGAUCUGCGGUCAAAACUGGCCCCCUGAUCUUUUUAUAGAUGAAGCCUACUCACCGACUCAGCCGCCGCUUCCUGCUGGUCCACCGCUAGGGCCCAUGAGUCGGUGGCCAUAGUCCCUUGCGCCGGUGGGAGGCAGGUGCUGGCGACCUUGCCCGGGCGAUCCGCAAUCCUGGGCAACCCUGGGCAACCCUGGCCCCACGGAGGGGGAAGUCAUUCGCUCCGGCGCUGGGGACCGGAAGCGGCGCGCCGCAGUGACGUCGGAGUCCGCGCCGGCCUGACAGCCCCUAACCCCAUGGACUGUCGCUCUUGCCGCUUUCGGACCCCCACCCCUUGAACUGCUCAGAGUUUCUUAUUCAACACGCAGAACUGCAGACUGGGACAGUUAUCUUUAAGUGCCGAAGCUCCUGCCAAUGGGCUCUCCAACCGAAGAACAAAACCACAUUCUUGCCCAGCACAGUGACAAAGAUGUCAGAAUAUAAAUAAACGGAAUAUACCAAUACACAAAUCCAUUACGAUAGUGAGCAAAAUGAACCUGAAAAAGGCGGAUUUUUAUUUUAUUCAUUUUUCCAGGUUGGUAAAUUUAAAUGUGCAGGUGUUGCCUAGAGUGUCGAGAAUCAGCCCUCUCAAACACUGGUUAAAAAUUUGUCCCACAGACUGUAUGGCAAUACAUUUACAGGAAUUUAAUCUUAAAAAAAAUGCUCAGCAAGGGUGCUAGGGAAAUGUAUUCCAAGUAGAAGAUCAGAGAUACAGAGUAACCGAACUGUGUGUGUGUGGAACUGAACACAGUUUCUCGACCAAUGACAAGAACCAGAUAAGAAUAAAUUGGUAAGGGCUGGAUGAAAAGGGCUGCACAGAGCAGUUUAAUGAGCAAAUGAGUUCACUUCAGGGAACUCGCCAAUCUGGUGUGACUUUUAGAUUUAGCCUUGCCUAGGCUAGAAUCCCAGCUCUCUCAUGUAAAGGUUCUGUGAUUCAGAUCAUUUUUAAAAAGAAAAGGCGGGGGGGAUGGAGUUUCUUGGUGGCUCAGUGGGUUAAGAAUCCAGCACUGUCACUGCUGUGGCUCUGGUAACUGCAGCGGCAAGGGUUCGAUCCCUGGCCUGGGAGCUUUGCAGGUGUGGCCAAUAAAUAAAUAAAAUUUCUAAAAAUACUGGGCUUCUAGAAGAAGUAAAAUAAGGAUUAAGUGUGACACUUUCCCUUAACUGGGAUCAAACAAGCUUCUCUUUCCUUGUUACUUCACUAGAAUGAAACUGGGGAGUUCCCGUCGUGGCGCAGUGGUUAACAAAUCCGACUAGGAACCAUGAGGUUGCGGG